UAAAAACCCCGACUUCGGAAGGGGUGUAUUUAUUAGAUACAAAACCAAUGCCCUUCGGGGCUCUUUGGUGAUUCAUGAUAACUAUACGAAUCGCACGGCCUUGCGCCGGCGAUGGUUCAUUCAAAUUUCUUCCCUAUCAACUUUCGAUGUUUGGGUAUUGGCCAAACAUGGUUGCAACGGGUAACGGAGGGUUAGGGCUCGACCCCGGAGAAGGAGCCUGAGAAACGGCUACUACAUCCAAGGAAGGCAGCAGGCGCGCAAAUUACCCAAUCCCGACUCGGGGAGGUAGUGACAAUAAAUACUGAUACAGGGCCCUUUCGGGCCUUGUAAUUGGAAUGAGUACAAUUUAAAUCCCUUAACGAGGAACAAUUGGAGGGCAAGUCUGGUGCCAGCAGCCGCGGUAAUUCCAGCUCCAAUAGCGUAUAUUAAAGUUGUUGUGGUUAAAAAGCUCGUAGUUGAACCUUGGGCCUGGCUGGCCGGUCCGCCUCACCGCGUGCACUGGUCCGGCCGGGCCUUUCCCUCUGUGGAACCCCAUACCCUUCACUGGGCGUGGCGGGGAAACAGGACAUUUACUCU
rnacentral:rRNA from 1 species